AAGAGUCUAGCUACAGUCUAGAGUUGGCUCCUCAGCAACAGAGUGCCCCACUGCUCAUGUCACCUGUCAUCUGGUCCCUUUAGCUCACUGUUGUCCUGUGGGGCAAAGGGAUAUGAGGAGCUGACACCAUGCUGAUCUUGCUUAUCCUGCCUGUGUAUAGUCCCACGACAUAUAAUACUCACUCUCCGAUCAACUCUCGGUGAGUAGCAGCCUCGGUAAGAUUAGGCCCAGGCCCGCCUCUCCGGCCGCAGGACAGUCUCGGAGGUCCUACCCAUUUACUUUGGGUCCCCGGCGGCGAGCGGCGGCGGCAGGCACCAAGGAAUAUACUUGAUUGCCUUGUUUCUUGUGGAGUGAAGCACAGAGAUAAGU